rnacentral:lncRNA from 1 species
GCUUGCGGCUGGAGUACCUGCAGAUCCCACCGGUCAGCCGCGCCUACACCACUGCCUGCGUCCUCACCACCGCCGCCGUGCAGUUGGAAUUGAUCACACCUUUUCAGUUGUACUUCAAUCCUGAAUUAAUCUUUAAACACUUUCAAAUAUGGAGAUUAAUCACCAACUUCUUAUUUUUUGGGCCAGUUGGAUUCAAUUUUUUAUUUAACAUGAUUUUUCUCUUUUUGGUCUGUUUGUGAGCUUAGUUUUCUUGGGCCAGGCCUUUACAAUAAUGCUCGUCUAUGUGUGGAGCCGAAGGAACCCCUAUGUCCGCAUGAACUUCUUCGGCCUUCUCAACUUCCAGGCCCCCUUUCUGCCCUGGGUGCUCAUGGGAUUUUCCUUGUUGUUGGGGAACUCAAUCAUUGUGGACCUUUUGGGUAUUGCAGUUGGACACAUAUAUUUUUUCUUGGAAGAUGUAUUUCCCAAUCAACCUGGUGGAAUAAGAAUUCUGAAAACACCAUCUAUUUUGAAAGCUAUUUUUGAUACACCAGAUGAGGAUCCAAAUUACAAUCCACUACCUGAGGAACGGCC